AAAUAAAUAAGAUAUGAUGAUUUUCUUUUUUUACAUUACAUGUUUGUCGGGCUGUCUUCGCAAGGGUCUUGUAGACUACAAAACACAUAUGGAUAUUGGAUAAUGCAGAUAUGUAAACAGUGCAGUAUAAAAGGAUUUAUAUCACUCUGGUGGGAUUGGUAACCUGGAUCUUGGCAAAUAGAUGCAUGGACUCAAGAAAAUAGAGGAAAUUGAAGAUUUUUAAAACUUAUUGACUCAAGAAAAUAAAGUUAACAUCUUUACAGCAUGAUCCCGACAUGAGUUUUGAAUGGAUUGAGCUGAAAUUUUACACAGAUGUUCUUUAACAUAUCUGUUACAGCUUAAGCGUAGCAGAUUUUGAGAAAAAUAAAAAAGUUUUCUGCUUAAGUUGUGAUGACACAAAAAAGGGGAAAGAAGCAUUUGUCAGAAUUAAUCUGGACCAACUCAUUUUUUUUAAAGCCUACGAUAAAGCACUUUUGACUCUGGAAUGUUUAUAGCAUCUUUCCAGCUACUCGGAGGGAAAGGGAAAAAGGAUAUCUGUAAAUGUUUAAAUGGGUCAAGUAUGCAGCGUACU